GAGGGUAUAGCUCAAUUGGUAGAGUGCAUGCUUAGCAUGCACGUGGUCCUGGGUUCAAUCCCCAGUACCUCUA
rfam:Camelus ferus unplaced genomic scaffold scaffold261, whole genome shotgun sequence.